rnacentral:rRNA from 1 species
UAGAGUUUGAUCCUGGCUCAGAACGAACGCUGGCGGCAUGCCUAACACAUGCAAGUCGAACGGUAACAGGUCUUCGGAUGCUGACGAGUGGCGCACGGGUGAGUAACGCGUGGAUAUCUGCCUAUGAGUGGGGGACAACUUUCGGAAACGAAAGCUAAUACCGCAUAAUCUCUACGGAGCAAAGCAGGGGACCUUUCGGGGCCUUGUGCUUAUAGAUGAGUCCGCGUCAGAUUAGCUAGUUGGUGGGGUAAGAGCCUACCAAGGCGAUGAUCUGUAGCUGGUCUGAGAGGAUGAUCAGUCACACUGGAACUGAGACACGGUCCAGACUCCUACGGGAGGCAGCAGUGGGGAAUUUUGCACAAUGGGCGCAAGCCUGAUGCAGCGAUGCCGCGUGUGGGAAGAAGGCCUUUGGGUUGUAAACCACUUUCAAUUGGGAAGAAGAGAUGAGGGUUAAUAAGCCUCUGAUUUGACGGUACCUUUAGAAGAAGCACCGGCUAAUUUCGUGCCAGCAGCCGCGGUAAUACGAAAGGUGCAAGCGUUGUUCGGAUUUACUGGGCGUAAAGAGAUCGUAGGUGGUUUGUUAAGUUGGAUGUGAAAUCCCGGGGCUCAACCUCGGAGCUGCAUCCAAAACUGUCAGACUUGAGUUCGGGAGGGGUAAGCGGAAUCCCGUGUGUAGCAGUGAAAUGCGUAGAUAUACGGAGGAACACCUGAGGCGAAGGCGGCUUACUGGACCGAUACUGACACUGAGGAUCGAAAGCGUGGGUAGCAAACAGGAUUAGAUACCCUGGUAGUCCACGCCCUAAACGAUGUCAACUAGCCGUUGCGGGUAUCGACCCCUACUGUGGCA